rnacentral:lncRNA from 1 species
CUAGGGAUCAGGGCACAGGUUGGUUCUUUGUACUCAGACAUCCUGUAAUUGGAGGGGGAGGAUUUUUAAUUGAAGUAUAGUUGACUUACAAUGUAGUGUUAGGUUCAAGUAUAUAGCAAUGUGAUUUACUUUUUUUUUUUUUUUUUCAGGUCCUUUUCCCUUAUAGGUUAUUAAAAAAAUACUGAGUAGAGUUCCCUGUGUUAUACAGUAGGUCUUUGUUGUUUCUCUGUUUUUUGUAUAGUAGUGUAUAUAUUUUAGUCCCAAACUCCUAAUUUUUCCCUCCCCCCCCAUCCAAAUUCUAAAUGCUGGAAUGCUUCAGGACCUGGUUCUAGCCCUUCUUCUCUAUCUCAUUCUCUCCUAAGGUGAUCUCACCUAAUACCAUUUAGAUAUCACAGCUUCCACAUUUAUGUGUUUUAGAUAUCACAAUUUCCACAUUUAUACCUACUAGCCAAGACCUCUCUCCUAACAUAGAUGUGACAUAUUUGCAAAUAGAGAUAUAUGCACACAUAUGCAAAUAGAGAUCCGUCACCCACAGUGGAUGUAUCUUAGUCAUCUCAAAGUUAAAUCUUUAUCGGUUUCAACUUAGUCCUUUAUCCAUUAUCCCUGUGGUAGAAAUGCUUAUGGGCCUCCCGGAGAUGUCCACAUACUAAUUCCUGGAACCUUAGUAUAUGUUGCCUUACGUGGAAAAAGGAACUCUGCAGAUAUAAUUAAGAUGAAGGACUCAGAGCUGGGAAGAUUAUCUUGGAUUACCUGGGUGGACCCUGUUAAUUACAAGGGUCCUUAAAAGCAGAAGAACGAAGUAGAAGAGAGGAGAGGUGCCAGUGGAAAAGAAAAGUAGAGAUAUGGCAGCGUGAUGAGCCCAGUGGGCCCAAGCUAAUCUGAAAAAGCAGAGAAACUUUCCCAGCUGUGGACUGAUCGAGAUGGGAUGUUGGAAGAAAGCUCAGAGAGACAAAAGAAAUGUGAUGAGAGGAGGCAAGAAAGAUGGAUCAUCUUUCAAAACUGGGAAUGGCAAGGAAACAGAUUUUCCCCUUAACCCUCCAAAAAGGGACACAGUACCGCCAACACUUGGAUUUCAACCCAUUGAGACUCAUUUUGGGCUUCGGACCUAAAAAACUAUAAGACAGUAAACUUGUGUUGUUUUAAGAUGGCAAGAUUGUUGUAGGGGCAAGGCAGUUAAUACAACCACCUCUCUAGAAGUAGCACCACAACUGCCCAGUUGCCCUAGGUAAACCUUGCAUGUCAUUCCUGAUACUUCCCUGUCAUCUAGCUUCUGCCCGCCUAAUCUAGGAACAGGUUCUGACAAUUUUACUUCCAAAACAGAUCUUGCAUCUGUCUGUUUCUCUCCAUCUUCUCUGUCAGCACCAUAGUCCAGGCCAGCAUCAUCCUGUGUCUGGACUAUGACAGCACCUUGCUCAGUGGUCUCUUUGUUUCUGCACCGACCCCUUUCUAAUCCAUGCUUCAUUUAUUGGUGACAAUGGUCUUUUGAUAAAUGCGCAUCAUUUCUCUGCUUAAGCUUUUCAACAUCUUCCCAUUACAAUUAGAGUAAACUUCCCAAGUUUCUGAGCAUGGCCUCCAAGGUCCUUCAUGACUUGGCUCCUGCCCACCUCUCUGAUUUCCCUUUGUACGUUUAGGCUAACUCACUUUGGUUACCCCAUCAGCGUCAUUUCUGUUCCUGUAACAUAACAAACUCAUGCCUUGGUACCUGUUAUUCUCUCUUCCCGUGAGUUUUCUCCCUUGUAUAUGGCUUCUUGUUUUUCAUGUCUGACCUCAAACACCGUCUCCCUGGAAAGGUCUUCAUUAAUGCUCCAGCCAACACACCCCACGCCACUGACAUAGGCACUCUCUGUCAGAUAACCCUGUUUGUAAUUAUUGAGUUUGUUUGCCUUAUUUUCUUUGUCUCCCCAGCUAGAAUGCAAGCUCCAGAAUGCUUGCCUGACUGAUUCAACGUCCCCAGACCCUACCACAUUGCCCCAUACAUAAUUGGUGGUGAAUUAAUACUCCUCAGAGUCAGGACUGAGGGAAUGAGUUCAGUGAGGAAAAAUGCAAUCAGAGGUUUGUGUGGUUUUUUUUCCCAUUGAGGUGAAAUACACAAAACCUAAAAUUAACAAUUUUAAAGUCCAUAACUCAGUGGCAUUUAGUACAUCCAGAAUGUUCUUCAACCAUCAUCUCUUAACGAGUUCUAAAAUAUUUUCAUCCCUUCGAAAUAAAACCCCUUUUCCACUCAAAAGUAACAUCCUAUUCUUUCCAUCCCUCAACUCCUUACAGUCCCCAGUUGGUUUUCUGUGUCUAUUCUGAAUAUUUCAGAUAAAUGGAGUCAUGCAUUUUGACUUUCACAUCUGGCUUCUUCCACUUCACAUGUUCUCAAGGUUUGAUACAUUGUAACAUGUAUCAGUAUUCUGAUCUUUAUUAUAGCUGAGUAAUAUUCCUGUGUGUGUGUGUGUGUCCCCAGUCUUCUGUUAAUGGAUAUUUGGGUUGUUUCCACUCGGGGGCGGUUGUGAAUAGUGCUGCUAUGAACAUUUGUGCACAUUUGUUUUUAAUAGGUCACAAAUUCCAUUUUGGAACUUGGAAUGUAGGCAGUGAUUUCUAGGGCAAGAGCCUCAUUCAUUUCUUGCCUGUUUCUGAUGUUCUCCAUAUUUCUCACACAGUCAGUGAGAGUAGCUUAAUGAUCAUAUUUGCUUAAUUAUCAUAGAAUUCUUAAUCAAGUUGUUUAUUCUAUAUAGAUUAAUACAGCAGCUUCCAAAUAUAAUAGGGCUGGAGACAGAACCGGGGGUAGGCGGAAAGAGAUUAGGGAGAAUAGUGCUAGGUGUAGUUAAAAUUAUGACUUUUUCAAACAUGCACAUUACAAGAAAAUUUACUCAUCCAGUGAUAAACUUUAUGUUUCCCUCAGAAAUGUUAGUAGCUACCAAUGCUUUCUGAAUUAGGUACUCGGAACCCUAAGUUGUAUGUUCCAUGCCAUCUCCAAUGUUAAAAAGUUUUAAUCCGCAAUUAGAUAUAUAUUAAGCCAUUAAAAUAUAAUUGUAUUUUAAUGAUUUGAAUCUAUGAAUAUAUGUAAAUUAGUGAUGGCUUAUUAAACAUUACAGUUUUGGGUUAUUGUACAAAAAAGAUCUGUACAUAUAAAAUGUUAGAGGGGAAAAAAAGCCUUUUGUGUAUUUUAUUACAUCAUCCUUCAGCAAGGAUGACCAAAAUGAAAAUGCUCAUGCAAUUCAUAAUGUUAAAAAAGAAAUAUCAUCAUUCUUAUGAAUAGAAACUAUUUCCAUGAAUGCCAAGUACACACAGUUGUUUGGGUCUGAACGUGUUAUCUUGAUCCCUGGCACUCUAUUUUGUGCUUGGAAGCCUCUACUCAAUUCAAAACAUAAAUUUGGAAAAGGCAUGCUCUCUGGAACCUUCUGAGAGCCUGUAGUUAUGGUGGUGACUUAAAUAUUAUUUCCAUAGCUACGCUGGCUUCUAGCCACAGCUGAAGUGCAUAUCAACAAGCUUGGUGUGAAAAUGGGCAGGGAGAGGAAAAAAAGAGGAGACAGAGGACACUAAUUUUCCUUCUUCGGAGGAGGAGGUAUAAUGUCUUUAUAAAGUAAUAAUUAAAAGAAAAACAAUUACUGGAGCCUUAUCUGGACCAUGCAGCUGUACUUCCUCCUUUUGCAUUAGCAGUGUUUCUAAGGUUAUGACAAACCAUGAAAAUUGCAUCUUUAGAGGAGUUUUAUUCCUUUUCCUAUGAUUUGAUUGAAACAGACAGCUACAUUUUGUGUAUAUAUAAUUAGGCAGUAAAAUAGGCUUUGAAGGCAGGUUUCCAUUUAGUAUGUGAGUCACACGCACAACAGCCUUUCAUUCACCAGCCAAGGACUGAUCUUUUUAAUGCUUCAACCCGCUCAACAUGUUUUCUGAAUGCUACAUCUUGCACUGGUGGGGGCCGGGUGGGCGGGAGGGAGGGGGAAAAAAAAAAUCAGCUUUUCGCCCAUAUUUCUUUCUUUUUUUUUCAUCUUCUUUCCAAAGGGAAAACAAUCUGAAAAGCCAAUCUAGGAAGUCUUUGGCGAUUUAACCUCACGACAAACUGAUUUUUAUCGUCC